rnacentral:rRNA from 1 species
ACGGGAGGCAGCAGUGAGGAAUAUUGGUCAAUGGGGGCAACUCUGAACCAGCCAUGUCGCGUGAAGGAAUACGGCCCUACGGGUCUUAAACUUCUUUUAUACGGGGAUAAAGUGAGAUAUGUAUAUCUUUUUGUAGGUACCCUAUGAAUAAGCAUCGGCUAAUUCCGUGCCAGCAGCCGCGGUAAUACGGAGGAUGCGAGCGUUAUCCGGAUUUAUUGGGUUUAAAGGGUGCGCAGGCGGCACGUUAAGUCAGCGGUGAAAUGUCGGGGCUCAACCCGUGCACUGCCGUUGAAACUGGCGAGCUCGAGUACGGAUGAAGUUGGCGGAAUGUGAUGUGUAGCGGUGAAAUGCUUAGAUAUGUCGCAGAACACCGAUUGCGAAGGCAGCUGACUAAUGCGCAACUGACGCUGAGGCACGAAAGCGUGGGGAUCGAACAGGAUUAGAUACCCUGGUA